UUAAAAAAUCCCUUUAAUCACCUCGAUUUCUCUUUUCCUCCUCUUCCAUCUGCACGCGCGAGCCUAACCUCCGCCCCUCCUUCCGCCGUCGCCACCGGCGGAGUCGGAGUCGCCGGCGCCGCAUCAAACCAGUUUGGCCAUCUCCUCCGCCCGUGCCUCAGUUCCAAAUCCGGCGGCGAGGGACUAGAUAUGGUCACGAGAGAAGCCAUGGCUGAAGCUGAUCUCUCUCAUUCCACCACUCAACAGAGAUUCCAUGGACUGGAACCGUUGGCCAUGGCUCCAGAUCUGGAGCCCUGGCCGCGAGCCCACUGCUCUGCGUCUCCAAGAGGGUGGACGCGGAGGUCGAUUGUCGCUCACGGCUAUGGCUCCAGAUCUGGAGCUUUGGCCGCGAGCCCACUGCUGUGCGUCUUCAAUCUGCCGCCGGGACCACGGAGAGGGUGGACGCGGAGCCCACUGCUCUGCGUCUCCUAAUCUGCGGCUUAGCCGCCAGGACGACAGAGAGGGUGGGCGCUCAUAUCUGUGGACGAGAAGCCGUCCAUGGCCGACCGCUACUCUGCAUCUGCAGAUCUGGUUUGCUGCUCAACAGCUUUGAGAUCGAGUCUUGGCUCGUCCAUGGCUGCCGGCGACGAGCUCAACAGCUUUGCCGCAGACCGCGGCGGCCACGGUGGGGCGGUGGUUCAAGACAGCGGCGGCGGCGGCGGCUUGGGCGGUGGAGAUAGCCGAGCCCAGGCGGAGCGGAUGUUGAAGCUGGAGGGAAAAAGAGGGAAAAGAAUUAAUAUUUUUGAAUUUACAUGUCAAUAUCCACGUGUCAAAAUGUAAUUAGAUAUUAAGUAAAGCAAGCCUGUUAGGUCAGAUGUUUGACGUCAGCAAUUAACAUCGAAUAUCUCGAACUAUUCCGGAAAAAGAAUCAAUUUUCCAUUCUACUCUAAAUCUGUGGCUGUCACUUCAUAUUUUGCUCCCACUAGAAACAGGAGUGGGCGUAAGGAGCGACAGGCGUAGUGGAAAAUGAUUCGAUUGUGGAGAGGGGGGAGGAAUGCGUGAGAGGGGCUGGCUGUUUAUGGGUAUCAGGCAGAAUGCUCGGCCAUAAUUUGCAAGGGAGGUCUCGCUGGUUUUUGAGAAGUUGGAAGGCUGGCUCGAGAGGAAGCUCUCUGGAGACGAAGCACAAUCGUACCUUCUCCCUUCAUCUCUUCUCGCCUUACAAUCCUCCCGAUCUCUCCUCUGACAUUCACCCACCUCCUAAACGCCAUCCGCUCAUAACCGUCCAUCGCCGUCGCUCGCCUCAUCCUCAAAGGAUACCAGUCACGCUCUGUGUAGGGCUUUGCAACGGAGACUUUUGGAAGCUCAUGGCUUCUCCUUUGAGUGGGGAGGGCUUCGGCAAGAGGAGGGAGCUUCGGCCAUUGGACAACCUCUUGCGCGACCGUCGAUCAUCACUCUGUCCACGACUGAGCGGAAGUCGUAGACCUUAUCCCUGGACGUGAAAGAAAGCUAUUCGUCGUCCGUCAAUCUUCGCCGCUGACUGCACGACGACUAAGACCCAUCCCCGAACCAGGUCGGAACGCAAGCGCUGCUCCCUCGCUCCAACUACUGAUAUGACUUUGAGAAUACUUUGCAAGGUAUCUUGGUCGCCGGAAAAGCAAAACCUCAUCGAAACGCAAAUGCUGCUCCUCGCUCCAACUACUUAUAUGACUUUGAGAAUAGUCUGCAAGGGCAUCUGUUACUUCCAUCUAUGUUGUCGCUGGAGUUAGGUGUUGUUGGCCGGAGUUGGAUGUUGUUGGUCGGAGUGGAUGACUGGCAGAGAGAGGUGGUUAGGCGGUGAUGUGGAUUCCGGUAACGACAUGACCGGAGCGAUGGUGCCGGCGUCGGGACUUUUGGUUCUGGAAAAACGAAGUUGCAGGUAGAUUAUGAAGAGGAAAAAGACAAAACAGAAAAAGGCAAAAACAAUAAAAGAAAAGAGAGAAAAAAAAAAAGGGGUGUUUGGGGCUUCCUUAGUGUGGGCCGAGUCUUAUGAGGUUUCGGGCCAGUUGUCAUUUUGGGCUAGAACCUAAGUGGGCUUAGUUAAUUCCGAGUGGGCUUUUAAGGUUAAUAUUUUAAGUCCAACCCGAACUGAUAAGGUUCAGGUCGGUUUAGUUGGGUCGGGUUUAUUGACCCGGUCCUAAUAUCUUUUAUGUUAAUAUUAAAAAUAUAUAUAAAAUAAAUAAAUAUUAAAAAAUUAAAAAUAAAAUAAAAUUUAAAAUUCAGAAAAUGAUAAUAAGCUUUAUAAAUUUUA